rnacentral:rRNA from 1 species
AGCUCCAGUAGUGUAUAUCAAAGUUGUUGCGGUUAAAAAGCUCGUAGUUGGAUUUCCUGGUUUUAAUAGCUUGGGGGUGACGUACCUGUCUAUUUUAUGAUGUGGGCGUGUGCUCUUGAGGACCAGAGCUUCCUAAUGUAUUUUAGCAUUGGGGGGAUGUACUUUGAACAAAUUAGAGUGCUCAAGACAGGCUUACAAAUAUUGUUUGCUGUGAAUAGAUUAGCAUGGAAUACGGGUAUAAACUCUGUUGUCGGGAUUGUUGUUUUGACGAUGAUGGGGAAUGAUGGAUAGGGACAGGUGUGGGCAUUGAGAUUGUUACGUCAGAGGUGAAAUUCUUAGAUCGUAGCAGGAUUAGCAGACGCGAAAGCAUUUGUCAAGGAUGUUUUCAUUGAUCAAGAAC